rnacentral:rRNA from 1 species
GACGAACGCUGGCGGCGCGCUUAACACAUGCAAGUCGAGCGAAGCGGCGGACGGGUGAGUAACACGUGAGUAACCUGCCUUAGACAUUGGGAUAGCCUCGGGAAACCGGGAUUAAUACCAAAUGGUCGAAGAUGGACUCUGGUCCGAUAAGGUAGUUGGUGAGGGAACGGCCCACCAAGGCGUCGAUGGGUAGCCGGCCUGAGAGGGUGAGCGGCCACGUUGGAACUGAGAAGCGGUCCAGCCGCUACGGGAGGCAGCAGUGGGGAAUAUUGCACUAUGGCGGGAACUCUGAUGCAGCGACGCCGCGUGAACGAAGAAGGCUUUUGAGUCGUGAAGUUCUUUUAUAUGUGAAGCGGUACCAUGGGAGGAAGCCCCGGCUAACUACGUGCCAGCAGCCGCGGUAAUUC